rnacentral:rRNA from 1 species
UACGUAGGUGGCAAGCGUUUGUCCGGAAUUAUUGGGCGUAAAGAGCUCGUAGGUGGCGGGUCACGUCGGGUGUGAAAGCCCCGGGGCUUAACUCCGGGUCUGCAUUCGAUACGGGUCUGCUGGGGUCCGGCAGGGGAGACUGGAAUUCCUGGUGUAGCGGUGGAAUGCGCAGAUAUCAGGAAGAACACCCGUGGCGAAGGCGGCUCUCUGGAACGCAACUGACGCUGAGACACGAAAGCGUGGGUAGCAAACAGG